AGCAGGCUUCCCGCGGAGCAGGGAGCCCGAUGCGGGGCUCGAUCCCAGGACCCUGGGAUCAUGACCCGAGCCCAAGGCAGAUGCUUAACGACUGAGCCACCCAGGUGCCCCAAGAUGUGAUAUGUUCUAAUGGAGAUCCUAGUACAAUGGAUACUGCUUUCCUAUCCUGGAAUCUCACAGCCUUUUACUCAGUCUAAUAACCAGUUAUAAAAUACCCCCAUAAUCUCCCCAAAGGUCUGUUGACUGUAACUCACUCUCUGGUAUAAUUUCUAUGUCAGGGAUUUUUUUUUUAGCUGCAGGCAAUAGAACUUGGUUCUGAUUUUUGGAAGACUACUGGAGUUGAUCAAAACCAAAGGAAAUGCUGAAAAACAAGGCACUCAAGGAGGUCCAGAACUAAGGAAGCUUGGAGUAUUUGGGUAACAGCAACUUAGUCCUUAUAAGUCUCCCCUCAGGCUUUUAAAUUCAGGCACAGAGAAUCUGAUAAUUUCAUCUAAGAGGGCUAGGGUUUCUUACCAGAACACAGAUCAGUGAAAGAAUCUGGACAAACCAAAUAAAGGAGGUAUAGAAAAAGAUGGACGUUAACAUCCAAGUGGAGAUGUUGAAUAAAUCUUCAGAUGUAUAAAUGUAGAUUGCAGAGUAGAGGGCUAGACUGGGAUAAACAAUUAGAGGUUAUAAGGAUGAGUGAAAUAAUGGGCAUGGUUGAAAUUUCCCAGGAAGAGUGUAAGUGGCCAUGCAUCCCUCCAGCAUCAUUACCUGAGGGCCGGAACACUUACCGGAGCAAUUUGUGAUUGGAGGAUUGUUUCUUUGUUGUGGAGGGCAUGAUAUUCCUAGUAAUUGGGAAAAGAGUCUGGGGCAUGGAACUAUAACACUGUGCUGGGAACAUUCCAUCUCGUAAGAAUGAAGUUGUUACGUGGAGAUUUUAAUGGAAUGUAACUUCUUUCGGUUAGUUAUAAUAAAUGUCAGCUUAUUUUCCAUCUCAUAUUAUUUAUAUUGCAUUUGGUCCAGUGCUAAAUGUUUUAUGUAUGUCAUCUAAUUUAAUCCUGACAACAUAUUAAUGAAAUUGUUAUUAUUAUCACCAUAUUUUACAGAUGGGCUACUGUAGUCUCAGACUUUAAGCAAUCUACUGAACAUAUUGCUAGAAAGCAGUGGAAAUGAAAUUUAAGUAAGGUCUACGUGAAUUCAAAGACAUUUCUACUCCAUAUCAAAUGAUAGAGCAAUGCCAAUAUUGGCCAUGGUUUAGGAUUAUUGAGCCUCUGCUCUGUACCAUGUAGUGUAUUGAAGACUUUAUAUGCAUUAUCUCAUUUAAUGUUCAUAAUAACCUUAUAAGGAAAGUACUGUUGUUAUUCCUAUUUAACAGUUGAGGAGUCUGAGGUUUAGAGAUGUUAAUUCAAUGGUUGUCACAUAGUAAGUGGUAGAGUCAGGGCUUGAACACUUCUGUUUGAUCCCAAAGCCCGUGUGCAUCACCAGUACACUCUCCUCUAUCAAAAAUAACUGAAUCUUUGAACAGUGGCUCUCUUCCCUGGCUGAGUAUUAGAAUCACCUGGGAAGCUUAAAAAAAAAAUCGAUGCCAAACCUCAUCAUCAAAUAUUCUGAUUUAAUUUAUCAGGAAUGCAGACUAGGCCUUGGAUUUCUUUCUUAAAAAGCCUUUAUUCAUUCAUCCAACUUACUCGCUAAACAUUUAAUGUCUUCUGUAUGCCAAACACUUCCUAGGCAUUUACUUCCUAGCAAGAUGUAUCAGUCAGCUAUUGUCACAAUGAUACGUAGCAACAAUUAUAAAAUCUUAGUGGCAUGAAAAACUAAGAACUUAUUAAGCACUUACUCUCACAUUUCUGGAGUCCAGCCAGGAGUCAGCUGAUUAAGCAGGGCCUUGUGGGGCAACUGAUUUAGGUUGGAGUGACUACUUUAAUUGCUUCAGGAUGGUGAGUAAACUGGUGUGGUUCUGCCUCAUGCAUUUCUCCUCAGACCACUGGACUAGUUGGCACUUGUGUCUCUCCUGGCUCAUCUCCUGCCAGUGGUAGAAUCACAAGAGGGGACGUGUCCAACUGUGCAAGCAUAUUUCAAGCCCCUGCUUGAGUCACAUCUGUGUAUAUUUCAUUAGCCAAAGCAAGUCUCAAGGCUGAGCUCAAGCACGGGAGGUGGGGAAAAAAGCCUCACUUCUGUUGUGUGGACUUGCAGAGUUCAUGGCAAAGGCUGAAAAUUGGGGCCAAUAAUUCAAUUUAGGUGGGAAAGAAUAAAAAUGAACAACAAGCGGUGUACAUAAGAAAAUUACCAAGUGUGUUAGAAAGUGAUAGUAAUAGUGCAAAAAAUUUCUGGAGGGUGAUAAUGAAGGUGAUCUUCAUAUGCAGCUAGGACUGAGAACCACUGAUCUUACAGUGUUCGACCUGGAAGAAACCUGGGCUAACAUUCCCUCAGCCCUUGUGAAAAUAAAACAGAUCCAGAAAGUAGAAGAAUCUUACUCAAGGUCCAUAGGUCCAUAGCUAUAGAAAUGGAACUAGGGCCUAUGUCCCCUAACACUGUAGACUGUUUCUCUUAUAUACCACAGUAUUCCAAUCUAUGGUCUUAGAAUUCUUUAUUAAUGGCACCAAAAAUAUGCUGUGGAAAGACACAGUCCUUCUUUUUUAUCUUGACCCUAGACAUUAGAGGUGUACUGUCUAAAUCCAGUGCUUCCUUUAGUAACCCAAUUCAGAGCCCAAUUUCACAUUUCCCAUAUUCAUACUGUUCAAAAGUUUACAGGCAUUCUACCCUCUUUUAGUUUUUCUCCUCUUCAAGUUAAAGACUGUUGGUUUUGAUCUAUCUUCUUGUGACUCCAUAGUCCCACCCUAGCAAUCUACUUGAUUAUUGGGCCUUCUUUCUUCCCCAACUCUGUAACGCCUUGAGUCAUCUUUCUUGAGUUCCUUUUUACUUUGAGCCUCCACUAGGCCUUUCAGUCAUCCUUUCUGUUUUGGAUUACAGUCGUCUUGAUUUGCUAGGAUGAACAGUCAAAAGAAAAGAAAAGAUAUGGAACCUGCUUGUACUUGGAGUUUAUUGUCUGAACAGAAAGGUGAGUAACUGGAUGAGGUAAGAGAGGGUAUAAUCUAGCUAAUCCUGUUCAUUCUUUUUCUCCUACUUCUCCUCAUGGACUUCAGGAAUUUUUUUUGAAUCUUUAACAUUGUGUUGCAUGUGUAUAGGUGUAUAUAUAUUGAGACAUUACAUGGAUAUGAUAUUUACCCAUUAAUAAUCUCUUGAAAAUGUCUCCACAAUUUUUGUGUUUUCCGAAGUGAGGAAAAAGAAAAGAGAAGAGGCAACUGUGGUUUCUACUGUUUUCCAUGAUCCCCAAAGCAUUUUUAAUCCUAAAAGACCCUCAAAUCUCUCCCUUUACUGUAACCACAGAUUUUCACAGGAGACAGCACAAAAGAGCAAAGAGCGAAGAUUGCUGGAGUCCUUCCGUCCUUCCCUUGUGGCUGAUUCCUGAACUCCAAGGAAUAUUUACUUAUGAGGAAUAGAAAUUGGUUAUCUUCAACGGACCACUCACUUGCCUGCCCAUUUCUGUGACAUUCCAAUAUCUGCCUCUCCAGAGUCUGCUUCCUCCUCUCCACCUCGUCAGUCACACCUUCUCCCAAGUAUAAAUCUCACUCUUGCUUUUAAAAGCUGCUUCAAAUUCUCAGGCUCCAUAUUCAUGGAAGGAUCUCACAGAAUACCAGGAAAUAUUUCGAAAACAUCUAAAAGAAAAAUACCUAAACAUAGGAGUCUAUAAAUGUUAUCACCGUGGCAAACACAUAGAGUCAUGACUGCUUGUUUUAAAAGAACAUGGUAUAUCAGAAAAGACACCGUGUGGGAUUCCUCAACAAGAUAAUUUUAUCGAUAUGGAACAUGUAUUUGUUCCCGAUGAAGAGGGCUCCAGCUCCUCCCAAGCUGUGGUUCUUCAGGGAUGUGCGGGGAUUGGGAAAACGGCUGUAGUACACAAGUUCAUGUUCGACUGGGCAGUCAGGAAUGGUCACUCCAGGCAGGUCUGACUAUCUCAUCUAUGUACGCUGCAGAGAAAUAAGUCAUAUUGCUAACCUGAGUGCUGCCGACCUGAUCAUUAACACUUUUCAAGAUACAGAUGGACCAAUCCUGGACAUUAUUCUUGUAUAUACAGAGAAGCUUCUGUUCAUUCUCGAUGGAUUCCCUGAGCUUCAGUACUCUGUAGGUAACCAGAGAGGGGAUCUUAGUGCUAAUUUCCAGGAGAAGAAGCCAGUAGAGACCCUCUUAUGUAGUUUUGUGAGGAAGAAAACUGUUCGCCAAAUCUUCCCUGCUGAUAACUGCCCGGCCUACAACCAUGAAGAAGCUCCACUCUCUGUUAACAAACAACCUACCCAGGCAGAGAUUGUAUGGUUUACAGAUGCUGAAAAGAGAGCGUAUUUCUUGGGUCAGUUUUCAGGUGCCGAUGCAGCAACGAGGGUCUUUUAUGAGCUUCGACAAAAUGAAAGCCUUGACAUUAUGUCCUCUCUUCCCAUCAUCACCUGGAUGAUUUGCAGGGUCCUAUAGUCACAGGGAGAUGGUGACAGGACUCUUAUGAGGUCACUUCAGACCAUGACUGAUGUGUAUCUGUUCUACUUUUCCAAGUGCCUCAAAACCCUUCCAGGCAUCUGGGUGUGGAAAGGACAAAGUUGCCUGUGGGGCCUUUGCUCUUUGGCUGCAGGGGGACUGCAGAGGGACUGCAGAACCAGCAGGUCCUAGUUCAGGUCAGUGACCUCAGGAGACAUGGGAUAGGAGUAUAUGAUAUCAAUUGCACUUUUCUAAAUCACUUUUUGAAAAAAACUGAAGGAGGUGUCAACAUCUACGCUUUCCUUCACUUCAGUUUCCAAGAGUUCUUGACUGCUGUGUUCUAUGCCCUGAAGAAUGACAGCAACUGGAUGUUUUUUGAUCCAGUGGGGAGAACGUGGCAAGAAAUAAUCCAACAAUAUGGAAAAGGGUUUUCAUCACUAACGAUACAGUUCUUAUUUGGCCUCUUACAUAAAGGAAAGGGAAAGGCCGUGGAAACUACUUUUGGAAGAAAAGUCUCUCCAGGACGUCAAGAGGAGUUAUUGAAGUGGACUGAGAAAGAAAUAAAGGAUAAAUCUAGGUUACAGAUUGAGCCAAUAGACUUGUUUCACUGUUUGUAUGAGAUUCAGGAAGAAGAAUAUGCAAAAAGGAUAACUGAUGAUUUAGUCAAUUACAUUGCUUCAACCUACCUAUACAAAAACGGACAUUCUGGCUCUGUCAUUCUGUGUAAAAAGCAGUCACAGUCACCUGUCAGUGUCUCUGAAGUCUCAGCACCUACUUGGAUUUGAGGAGGAAGAACGAGCCUCCGCAUUCAUGCCACCAGGCUUGAUAAUCAGUCCUUCCAGCUGUGCAAUUUGCCAGUGUCUCGGCUACACGUGCCCUGCCAAGCACUGCGUAAUCCAUACGGUAAAAUCAAAGACCUGAAACUGAUUUUCUGCCACCUCACAGCUUCUUGUGGUAGGGACCUCUCUUUAGUAUUUGAAACUAACCAGUAUUUGAGAGAUUUGGAGUUUGUAAAAAAAUACCCUGGAAGAUUCAGGAAUGAAGCUUCUGUGUGAAGGAUUAAAACAGCCAAACUGUAUCUUACAGACAUUGAGGUUCUACCGAUGCCUUAUUUCUCCUCCUUGUGGGGCACUGGCAGCUGUUCUCAGUACCAGUCGGUGGCUCACUGAUCUGGAAUUUAGUGAAACCAAACUGGAAGCUUCAGCUUUGAAAUUGCUUGUGAAGGCUUAAAAGAUCCAAAUUGCAAAUUACAGAAGCUCAAGUUGUGUGCUAGCUUUCUCCCUGAAAGCUCAGAGGUUGUUUGCAAGUAUCUUGCCUCUGUUCUCAUUUGCAGUCCAUACCUCACUGAGCUGGACCUGAGUGAAAAUCCCCUGGGGGACACAGGGGUGAAGUAUGUUUGUGAAGGUCUCAGACAUUCCAACUGUAAAGUGGAGAAGCUAGAAAAUGAGAACCUAACAUCGCUAGGCCUAAGUGGAAACGACCUCAAGGAUUUUGGAGUGCAAAUGCUGUAUGAUGCACUGAUUCAGCCAAUAUGUAAACUACAGACAUUCUACAUUGACCCGGAUCAUUUACACGAAGAAACAUUCAGAAAGAUGGAAGCUUUAAAAAUGAGCAAGCCCGGAAUCACCUGGUAGUUUCCAAGGAGCAUAUAGACCCCCCCCCCCCAAUCUGGCACCAUCUUUAACAGUUGUGCAUUAUUCUUCUUCUAAUCCUGUUAACCUUUGCUGAGGACCCUAGUGUGAAGCAAGCGGCAGUGAUAGCUAUUUCUUCCAUAGAAUCAUACACUAAGUAGGACGUGAAAGGCAGAAGCGCUUUAGUUCAAAUGUCUUCAGCAAUAAUACCUUACAUUCAUAUGUUGUGUUAUACAGUCUACUGUGUUUCCACAGAAAUCCUCAAAGGUAGGAAGGUGAGGCUCCGAGAGGUUGUGAGUAACUCUAGGUCAUGCACCUCAUUAGUGAGAGAACUGGGACUAGAAUCUAGCCAGGCCUUACAACACCCAGACCGGGCAGGGAAACAGUAGAGAAAAGAUAUGAAUGAGUCAACGUAGAGGAACAAGAUACUUGAAGUAAUUAAAGGGCAAGAGGGUGUACAAACCCGUGUUCUGUCUUGUGGUGCUGAUUUUAAGUGAAACUCUAAUGCACAAAAGAAAGAGAGAGGAAUGAGUUGGAUUGAUAGGGAAAGGCUUCCUGGAGGUGCAGCUUGAUGUGGGCCUUGAGAAUGAGCAGGAUUGAGACAGGGGAGAUAUACUGGCUCAUGGCUGUCAGACUGCGGGCAUAGCACGGGGCUGUGUUUGUGAGCAGCUCACCAAAAGCGCCUAGGGAGAGACAGACGGCAGUAAAGUUUCCUGAGCUGCAGCACUGUCUGCAUCCUAGGCUCCUAAGGGUGCUCUCCAGUUCCCAGGCUCAGAUCCCUUUCUGAACUUUUAAUACCUACCCUGUGUGUUCUUGUUCAUGGACUCCUGUGGCCGACUCACUCCUCACCCCUGACAACAUGUCACAUAGCCAGCAUGGAUCCUACACGACCCCAUGUCCUCUCUCUGCCCAGCUUCCACAGAACACCAGACGAGACAAGUGGAGGGAGGGAAUGCCAGGCAAAGAAAAUAGCACAAAGUCCACGAAAUAGGAGUGAAUGUGGUGUGGGAUGGACAGAAAGGUAGGCUGACCUGAUUAAGGUACAGAGUUGUUUCUGGAAGCUACUUGACUAGCUCUGUGACCUUAAAUAAGUCACUUGGACUCUUACAGUUUCUGUUUUCUCAUCUGUAAAAUGGGGAUAAAAUGGCAUUAAUAUUGCAGGACUGUUGUUCCUAACAUGGUGCCAGCCCCCACACAGUAGGCCCUAGAAUGGUGGCUGUUCGUAGGAGUGUAGAAAUGUACUAUAACUCAGCCGUGUAGUCUUCGAGCUCCCAGAUUUUCCUGCUGUGUAAUCGGUGUUAACUGCGCAUUUGAACGAACUGUGUGUGCUGGAGACAGCAAAGCUAGCAGGAGAGACGCACAGUGGGAAGUUACCGCAAGUGAGAGGUCCAGCUGCUUCGUGUUCUCAUCCAUCAUCGCAUGUUGUUCCUUGCAAACCUGGGAGAUGGUAACUUUCAGUCAGGAGACCACAUCUGGCCUGAGAAGAAUGGCCAAGACAGCUCUUUGUUUCCAGUUUUCUCAAGUUCUUUCCCUUUAGCUAUUUAAGACUUAUUUAUUGAGAAUUAUUAGGUGCCAGGUUUUGUGCCAAGUGUUGGCUUUACAGAGACGGAUAUGCCUUUUCCUGUGCACGUCCCCUACCAUCUUCUCUAACUGCCCGGGUCCCUCUGUCAGUCUGGUAAACAUCUGAUAAAACUCAGUCACAUUAAGAACUCAAGGAUAUAAUAUGGAAUGAAAGAUUGCAGAACUCUGUGUGCAUGUGUGUUUGUGUAUGUCCUGUUUGUAUCCAAAAGGAUAAAUAUACAUGUGUAUGUAUAUGUCUAGAAUAUGUGUGGAAGAAUGUGUACAAGAAACUGCUAACAGGAGUUAUCUCUGUCAGGAGGAAUUUGACAAGCAGGGGCAGUGAGAGAAGAGGAAAGAAACUUUCCAUUUUUUAUCUAUAGCCCUCUGUUCUACUUGAUGUU